UGGGGAAUUUUUGACAAUGGGGGCAACCCUGAACCAGCAAUGCCGCGUGUGUGAAGAAGGCCUUUGGGUUGUAAAGCACUUUUGUCCGGGAAGAAAUCGCACCUGAUAAUACCGGGUGUGGAUGACGGUACCGGAAGAAUAAGGACCGGCUAACUACGUGCCAGCAGCCGCGGUAAUACGUAGGGUCCAAGCGUUAAUCGUAAUUACUGGGCGUAAAGCGUGCGCAGGGGGUUGUGCAAGACCGAUGUGAAUUCCCCGGGCUUAACCUGGGAAUUGCAUUUGUGACGGCACGGAUAGAGAGGGUCGGAGAGGGGUGGAAUUCGCCGUGUAGAAGUGAAUUGCGUAGGAAUGUGGAGGAAUACCGAUGGCGAAGGCAGCCCCCUGGGAUAACACUGACGCUCAUGCACGAAAGCGUGGGGAGCAAACAGG
rnacentral:rRNA from 1 species